rnacentral:rRNA from 1 species
CGGAGAGGUAGCAUGAGAAACGGCUACCACUUCUAAGGAAGGCAGCAGGCGCGCAAAUUACCCAAUCCUGACUCAGGGAGGUAGUGACAAGAAAUAACAAUAAACCGGCUUAUGCCGGUUUAAUUGGAAUGAGUACAAUUUAAACAUCUUAACGAGGAACAAUUGGAGGGCAAGUCUGGUGCCAGCAGCCGCGGUAAUUCCAGCUCCAAUAGCGUAUACUAAAGUUGUUGCAGUUAAAAAGCUCGUAGUUGGAUUUCUGCGGGGACGGAGCGGCCGGUCGCAACUUGCGACUCGAGCUAGCGCUUUCCCCGCAUCCUGCCGCGAACCGUGCUACCAUUAGCUUGGUGGCGCUGGGGAUCGGCUCGAUUACUUUGAGAAAAAUAGAGUGUUCAAAGCAGGCCACACGCCUUGAAUAAGUUAGCAUGGAAUAAUGACUAAGGACUUCGGUUCUAUUUUGUUGGUGUUCGGGACUGAAGUAAUGAUUGAUAGGGACAGUUGGGGCGGUCUGUAUUCCAAAGCGAGAGGUGAAAUUCUUAGACCUUCGGAAGACAAACAGCUGCGAAAGCGUUCCGCAAGGAUGCUCCCUUUGAUCAAGAACGAAAGUUGGGGGAUCGAAGACGAUCAGAUACCGUCGUAGUCUCAACUAUAAACUAUACCAGCUAGGGAUCGGUCAACGUUUAAUCAUUCGACUUGAUCGGCACCUUAUGAGAAAUCAAAGCAUCUGGGUUCCGGGGGGAGUAUGGUCGCAAGGCUGAAACUUAAAGGAAUUGACGGAAGGGCACCACCAGCCGUGGAGCCUGUGGCUUAAUUUGACUCAACACGGGAAAACUUACCAGGUCCAGACAUAGUAAGGAUUGACAGAUUGAUAGCUCUUUCUUGAUUCUGUGGGUGGUGGUGCAUGGCCGUUCUUAGUUGGUGGAGUGAUUUGUCUGGUUAAUUCCGUUAACGAACGAGGCCCCAGCCUGCUAAAUAGCGCGGCUGAGCUUUGCUCGGUGCGAGCUUCUUAGAGGGACUAUGAUGCGCGAUAGCACAUGGAGGUUUGGGGCAAUAACAGGUCUGUGAUGCCCUUAGAUGUUCUGGGCCGCACACGGGCUACACUGGCGCCUGCAACGAGCAUAUCAGCUGGCCCGAGAGGGUCUUGGCUAAUCUUUUGAACCGGCGCCGUGCUUGGGAUUGACCAUUGCAAUUGUUGGUCAUGCAACGAGGAAUGCCUUGUAAACGCGAGUCAUCAGCUCGCAUUGAAUACGUCCCUGCCCUUUGUACACACCGCCCGUCGCUCCUACCGAUGAAUGUUCCGAUGAAAUUUUCGGAGAGCGCCAGAGAACGGGGCUCUGCCUUGCAGAUCUGGAGGCUCAAAGUCACUUAAAUCUGAACAUUUCGAGGAAGGAGAAGUCGUAACAAGGUAACC